UUCAGGUGCCGUCUUUGAAUUUUCCACACUCUUGGCGCAUGCGCCUCAGCUCCUUGGAUAUCACCCUGACAUUGAGCCCCUGGUGCUGUGCUUGGGACUGAGGGUAAAUGACACAGUCAGUGUCCCCAACCCCACCGCAUGGCAAAACAAAUGCUGACACUUCUAAUUGCCUUUUGUCAGCCGGGGAAGUGUUGAAUAUUACCAGGAUUUCAGGCAAAAUGACUGGGUUUUUCAGCAACCCCAACUGGAAAAUCUCAAAGUUAUGUGAAGC